AGGCACGCCGGGAGUUGUAGUCCACGGACGACUCUACUCCCUGCGCUCUUUCCCUAAGAUCUCGUCUUCCCAACGCGGCAGGUGCCGCUCUGUCCACCGAUUCAGGUAGCAGCCCCAUGACAAUUUAAUAAGGUGCGUAGGAUCCGGGGAGAUAAUGGACUACAGCUCCCAGGAUUCUCUGCGAGGGACUUCAGCUCUAGUGGCCGUCUUCGCCGCCUGAGACUCACUGCGCCAGGGGGCAAUGUUGGUAGUCUCGGUAACGGUUGUACAAGGUCCCAGGUGGUUAUCUGCGACGUUGGGUCAGAAGGUGAUCCAGACCAGCCUGGCUACAUGAAGUGCUCUCCACCUCUCCCAACCCUUGCAGUGACUUCUGGCUUCUGUCCCAGUGGUCUGAAACGGUAAUCGUGCUGGACUUACUCACGUGUGCCAUAUAGGCACAUCUCUUUUCCUAGAGAAACACUGGCAUCUAAUGGAGACGUCUUCCCAGGUCCUAGGAGUGAUGUUCUCAAGAAGCCCCAAGGUAUUUCCCUUUAGGACCCUUUGGCUACCAGAAGUAACUGAAUUACUCCUAGCUACUUGUCCUUUGUAACCCAAAGAUGCGCUAAGAAUCAAGCUGCAGAGGAGAACGUACAUAGCAAAGGGAAACCAAAAAGAAGUCCGUGGGAUGUUCUGCACUCUGGAUAUUGUAUGAGAGAUUGGGUGACAUUUGCCCCAGGACCCAGAAAGCCUGAGCCUAGCUCAGUAGGGCCUACAGGUACUUAGUCAUGUUUCUGGGAAAUCAUUCAUGCCCUAGAAGUCAGCAAGCUAAAGAGAGGCCAUUGAACUCAAGAUGCUGUGUGGGGACACCUGUCCAAAUGUGGGAGACCCCACAUUCUGGCAACACUGGAACAGAAUCUGGCAUCUGAAUACUUCGAGAGAAGCAGUGGGGUUGAACCCACUGACAGGGUGGUCAAGUUACUGCUAACUCAGCAAUGAGCAGUCACUCUAUGGCCUCCUUGGUGAGUCAGGCAUGAAGACAAGAAAAUAGACAAGGGGCAAGAUGGAUCAUUCAUCCAGAAGCCUGACUAGACUGACAUCAGUAGGUGAGCCUCAUGGUUGAGUCAGAGGAAUGGCCAAGGUGGAUCCAGGACAAACUCUGCAGCAUCUCUGGUCACUACGGAUCAUCCUUAGUGCAUGAGGCACCCUGCAGAUCACACAGCAGGAGACUUUGGAUCAUCCCAGGUUGUUGGCUGAGCCCUGAUCAAUGCUAAUGUAGUAUGGGCCAAAAGAUAGAACCCUGAUAACUGACCAACACUGGAAGAUAAGAGCGAAUUCAGGAGCCAGCUGGAGAAAGUAUCUGCCUUGGGAAGAGAGUUCUGGUUGCUGCAGGACCAAAAUUUGGCAAGCCCCAAUGGCCACUCCCUCUAUACCCCCCCUACCAUCAGAGGUUGCGGUUGUCCUAGGGGACAUGGCAGUGUCACACUGGGCUACACCCCUUGCUGGGACAAGGACCUGCCAGGAAGGACUCCGGCUUGGUGCCCCCUCGCAUGCCAGCCUCCCAGAAGCCUGAAGGUGGGUGGAAAGGCAGAGCAUACCUGUUU